rnacentral:lncRNA from 1 species
UAAUUUGAAUCGGUGAGUAAUCUUUAUCUUCAAUUUUUCAUGAAACUUCUGCAAAUUUUGUUAUUUCAGUCUUUUACGCUUUCGAUGAUACAAUUGAGCUUUAACUUUAUCUACAUCAUGCUUGUUAUAUAAACAUCACUUUUUGUUGUAGGAAUAACAUUUAUUUUGGCAUUCUGAACUCAUGGGUACAAAUGGGAAUAAUGAAUCCAAAUUGGAUAUGCCAUUGUUGCUUGAUGAUUCCAUUGCCUCCUCAAAAGCAUCUCUGGAAAAAGCUCUUAAGGAGGCGAAAGAAUGCCUAGAAAAGGCUGAAUAUGUCGCUUUGCAACUGAGCAAUGCUGUAGACUCAUUGAGUUUGGUUGUGCCUGAUUCGGAAGAUGAAGACGAUAUUCAUCGGUCGUCUACACCUUGCAUUCGGCGUCGUGCAAUAAAGAAUGGAAAGAAACCCACUGGAAAGAAACCCAUCGUUAAUGAUCAGAAAAUACCAGGAGAGAGAAUGCUUAGGAUUUUACUACCAGCAUUUUUUGAGAAAAAGUAAAUCGAAAGCAGAGCAUCUGCUUUUGUGACUCUAUUUUAAUUAUUGUCGUCUUAAUUAUUCGUCUAUUUUGCGACUCCGUUUUUAUUUGUAUGUUAAUGGAAAGCAGAGCAUCUGCAGGUCAUGUAUGUUGAUUACAAGUGUUGGUGGGUUCAACAUCUUUUUCUUUGAAAGAUGGC